rnacentral:rRNA from 1 species
CCUACGAGAGGCAGCAGUGAGGAAUAUUGGUCAAUGGGCGUAAGCCUGAACCAGCCAAGUCGCGUGAGGGACGAAGGUUCCAUGGAUCGUAAACCUCUUUUAUCAGGGAAUAAAGUCAGGGACGUGACCUAGUCCGUAUGUACCUUAAGAAAAAGGAUCGGCUAACUCCGUGCCCGCAGCCGCGGUAAUACGGAAGAUCCGAGCGUUAUCCGGAUUUAUUGGGUUUAAAGGGUGCGUAGGCGGCCUUUUAAGUCAGCGGUGAAAGUCCGUGGCUUAACCAUAGGGUUGCCGUUGAAACUGGGGGGCGUGAGAUGGUGUGAGGCAGGCGGAAUGCGUAGUGUAGCGGGGAAAUGCUUAGAUAUUGCGCAGAACCCCGAUUGCGAAGGCAGCAUAC